AGGUGCAACAGAAAAUUGACCACAACAGAUUGGCAUGCCAGGAAGAAAAGAGAAUAUGAGCAGUAAUGACUAAGAUCAAAACUCAACAUUCUACAGGAUCCGUGAGGCAAUCUUUCCGUCGGAGAGAUCUUCCUCCCCCACAUCCAUUGGUAAAGCCUAUCUCUUCGCGUCCUGUAGUCACUAUGGACGCACAAAUCGCUGCUCUAAUGCAGUAAAUGGUGUUGACGAAGACGGUGCACAGCCUCCAACAAAAAUAGACAUAGCA
rnacentral:lncRNA from 1 species